GGAGUUAGCCGGUGCUUCUUCUGUGAGUGAUGUCCUUCCUGCCGGCUAUUAACCCGCAGGCCUUCUUCCUCACUGAAAGUGCUUUACAACCCGAAGGCCUUCUUCACACACGCGGCAUGGCUGGAUCAGGGUUGCCCCCAUUGUCCAAUAUUCCCCACUGCUGCCUCCCGUAGGAGUCUGGGCCGUGUCUCAGUCCCAGUGUGGCUGAUCAUCCUCUCAGACCAGCUACGGAUCGUCGCCUUGGUGAGCCGUUACCUCACCAACCAGCUAAUCCGACAUAGGCUCAUCCGAUAGCGCGAGGCCCGAAGGUCCCCCGCUUUCCCCCGUAGGGCGUAUGCGGUAUUAGCCUGGGUUUCCCCAGGUUAUCCCCCACUACCGGGCAGAUUCCUAUGCAUUACUCACCCGUCCGCCGCUCGCCACCAGGGAGCAAGCUCCCCGUGCUGCCGCUCGACUUGCAUGUGUUAGGCCUGCCGCCAGCGUUCAAUCUGAGCCAGAAUCGAACCCUGACUCGAGCGGGCGUCGCGACGACGGCGACUAG
rnacentral:rRNA from 1 species